rnacentral:SRP_RNA from 1 species
UCUGGGUACAGUGGCUAAUGCCUAUAAUCCCAGCAUUUUAGGAGGCCAAGGUGGGAGGAUCACUUGAGCCUCAGAAUUCGAGGCUGCAGUGAGCUAUGACCAUGCCCACUGCACUUCAGACUUCAGCCUGGGCAACAGAGGCCCUGCCUCUUAAAAAAAAAAAAGAAAGAAAGAAAAACAUUGUGUCCUCCUGGGAGUGAAAGACCAGCAGGUUGCCUACAAAGGGGUGAACUGACCCAGGUUGGAAACUGAGCAGGUCAAAACUCCUGUGCUGAUUAGCAGUGGGAUUGCACCUUUGAAUAUCCACUGCACUGUAGCCUGGCCAACACAGUGAGACCCCAUGUCUA